rnacentral:lncRNA from 1 species
GGAGCUCGUAGGUUUCGUCGACGAUAUUAACUUCUACACGAUAUGCAUAUGCAGAUAGUUCAUGUAUCUAUACUUAAAGAGUCUGAAUGGAAAUUCAUAUAUUACUGUAAACUAAACUUCAUUACACUAUUAACCAAACUUAGAUUUAUACUUAUCGAUUUCUUCGUAGAGUAGGUGUUUUAUGAUUUAAGUUCUCAGCUUACUUGUUAGGGAUUGUGUAAGUUAAGUAUGUAAGUUAAGUUUGUUAUCCUUAGAUCGAAAAAUUAGCCUAUUUCUGAAUGCUUUUUUGUACCUCUUCCAAUUUACCAUUUUAACCUUACUAUUACUUAAUGUUUUCUUUUGUUCAUUUAAACCGGUUCAUCUUCCAAAUUUUGUUUCCAUAUCAACUAG